rnacentral:pre_miRNA from 1 species
UUUCUACUCCCUCCGUCCGGAAAUACUUGUCAUCAAAAUGGAUAAAAGGAAAUGUAUCUAGAUACAUUUCCUUUUAUCCAUUUUGAUGACAAGUAUUUCUGGACGGAGGGAGUAUUUG